UGGUGAGGAGAGUAAAUAAACUUAUCAUACUUCAGUAACCUUUACUUGAGAAGUAUGAGUGUCUCCACACCCUCCCAACAGUUGGUGGCGGUAAUGCACCAUGCUGGAUGCCAACCGCCAAUACAAAUCAACGAAGAAGAGAUUGCACAUGCGCAGUUCCUCCUGAGACGUUGGAUUUGAACCAUCACGCGGCAAAAGAACGUUUGUCUGGAUUUGGUUUGAAGCGUUAAUGCAGAGACUGCCAAGCAGGAAGUGCACUUCACGCUCCCGCUCAAGGUUCUGUCAGAGUUCUUUCGCUUAACCAGCAAAAACCUCAAAAUCGAGUUUUUCAAAGAACUGGACAAAUACACUCCUCGCUGUCUUGACAUUUUCAAGUCCAAGGGUGGAUGGUACCGGCCAGAUACUUAAGGGGUAUUUGCAUCAUCAAAUCGCACUGGGGGUACGUUUCUCAUGCACAUUAAUGAUUUAAUGGUGUCAGCAAAAUAGUGUAACCACAUUGUAUUUUCAGAGCUGUUAAUUGAUGGUCCUUGACCAUUUAUGGGUGAUAUGUAUGAAAUUAUCUUUCAGAAUACAGAUGUUACUGCUUAGUGAACAGCAGUCCUCCGUGGCCUUCCCAUCCUCCUUGGAGAUGAGAACAAAGACUUCUUCAAGACAUACUUUGUAAGUAGUUUC